AUGGAUCUUCAGUUCUUGGAGCGUAUACUUGAUGGAAGAGAGAAGCCAACAAAUCUAUCAUUCACACUUUUGAAGAGUAUCACUCAAAAUUUCUCGGACGAUCGAGAAAUUGGCCAUGGUGGAUUCGCAACGGUUUAUAAGGGAGUGCUCCCAAAUGGGAACGUUGCGGUAAAGAGGAUAAGGAACAGUCAUUCAAUCAAUGAGGCAUUAUUUUAUCGUGAAGUUGACAGCCUGUUGAACGUUGAACAUAAAAAUGUGGUACGGUUUCUUGGCUUCUGUGCUAGCACAGAGCAAACAGCCAUACAAAUCAAGGGAUCAAAACAACAUAUUUAUGCAGAGGUAAGAGAAAGAUUACUCUGUUUUGAGUAUAUCAGCAAUGGAAGCCUGCAAAAAUAUAUUACCGAUGAAUUAAGGGGACUUGAAUGGAAUACACGUUAUAAAAUAAUUAGAGGCAUCUGCGAAGGUUUGCAUCAUCUGCACAAGGAAAAGCAGAUAUAUCAUAUGGAUCUGAAACCCGAUAAUAUACUACUAGACAAUGAUAUGGUGCCGAAAAUCACAGAUUUUGGUUUAUCGAGACUUGAUGAGAAGUCAAAAACUAUGAGUGAAGAACGUCAUGGAUCACUGGGAUAUUGUGCUCCAGAAUAUCUACAUCAGGGAAAGAUGUCAUUCAAAUCAGACAUGUACAGUUUGGGUGUCAUAAUUAUUGAACUAGUGACUGGACAAAAGGCGAUCCCCAAUAAUAAUAACAAUGUACUUAGGAGAUGGAGGCACAGAUGGAAGAAAACUGGGAAUGAAACACCAUUUGUUUACCAACAAGUAGCAAAAUGCCUCGAAAUUGGGUUACUCUGCAAGGAAAUUGACCCAUCCAAACGGCCUUAUAUAUGGCAUCUAAUACAUGUUAUAAGAGAAGUUGAAGGUGCUAAUGAAAAAAUCAGCAAUGCCUAUGAACAUACAUUUGGACAUAUAAGCCCUUACUUGGAAGAUGAUAUGCUUGGAAUUGAGCCACUCCAACUACAUUUUCCUUUUGAACUCAACAACCAGAUGUCAUGUGAAAUUCAGCUAACCAAUGAUACAAACUCUUACAUUGCCUUCAAUAUCGAAAAUACAAGCCCCCUGUCAUACCACACACAGCCGCAGAAAGGCAUUAUGCCACCACAGUCCAAGUGCAAUGUUGACAUAACAAUGCAGCUGCAGGGAAAGGCACCAGGAUAUAUGCAUCGUGCAAAUGAACUUAUUGUGUGGAGCACCAAAGUGAAUGAUUGCAUUGCAGUUGAGGAUAUAACUAUGGGAAUGUUCAUUAAUGAUGCGGUCAGAGUUGUUGAUGAGGUGAAUUUGGAUGUUGUUUUUGACGACAAUGAGCCACAGGAAUCAAGUGACAAAAGCAAUGAGGUCAGCUCUCUAAGAAUACUAAAUUGCAAAGCCUCGUCUAUUUUGCUUGUGUCUAGUGCAAAUGAUCUUUGA
rnacentral:rRNA from 1 species